GCUGACGAGCGGCGGACGGGUGAGUAAUACUUAGGAAUCUACCUAGUAGUGGGGGAUAGCUCGGGGAAACUCGAAUUAAUACCGCAUACGACCUACGGGAGAAAGGGGGCAACUUGUUGCUCUCGCUAUUAGAUGAGCCUAAGUCGGAUUAGCUAGAUGGUGGGGUAAAGGCCUACCAUGGCGACGAUCUGUAGCUGGUCUGAGAGGAUGAUCAGCCACACCGGGACUGAGACACGGCCCGGACUCCUACGGGAGGCAGCAGUGGGGAAUAUUGGACAAUGGGGGCAACCCUGAUCCAGCCAUGCCGCGUGUGUGAAGAAGGCCUUUUGGUUGUAAAGCACUUUAAGCAGUGAAGAAGACUCCAUGGUUAAUACCCAUGGACGAUGACAUUAGCUGCAGAAUAAGCACCGGCUAACUCUGUGCCAGCAGCCGCGGUAAUACAGAGGGUGCAAGCGUUAAUCGGAAUUACUGGGCGUAAAGCGAGCGUAGGUGGCUUGAUAAGUCAGAUGUGAAAGCCCCGGGCUUAACCUGGGAACGGCAUCUGAUACUGUUAGGCUAGAGUAGGUGAGAGGAAGGUAGAAUUCCAGGUGUAGCGGUGAAA
rnacentral:rRNA from 1 species